UAUGGCCCUUAUCGAAGCUGCAGCUGCUUGUAUGUAGUUGCUGCAGUCAAAAAGGAGCCCAGAGUAAGAAUUUUCCUUGACGGUCGCCGUUCUGUUUGCUGUAACCGAUCUGCAGCAUUUUGGGGAAAGACAGUU
rnacentral:snoRNA from 1 species